GGUGGCGGAGCGGAGCCAAGAUGGCGGCGGGAGAGGACCGAGGCCUCGGGGGCGGCCCGGGAGGGACACUACCUGCCAGGAUGCCGGACAUUACACAGCCCGGAACUACCCGUGUUUAAAGCUGAGGAGGAGACCCACCCCCCGCCCCGGUAGCUCCAGCGGCACCGUUAUCGACCUCGUUCUCUCUGCACUCAGCACGUUGGAGCAGCGAUGGGCAACCUGGGGUUGGAAGUGGCCCCCGGGGCCAUCAAGCAGCGGCCCCUGGACAUCCGCACGAGUCUCGUGCCGAGGCCCAGAGAGAGGGUGUGAUUGUCUCUCGGGAUGACAACUGUUGGAGCAGUGGGACGGGAGCAGAGUUCCCGAGCAGCAAAUCUCUGGAAGGAAAUGGAUUUCAGCGAACCAGGAACCCGAGCAGCUGGUAACCAGCUGGAGUGAGGGGAGUGGGUGCUGCGCCCCAGAGACCUGCCGGUACUGACUGGAGAGGCAGAGGUGAAUGUGGCAGUGAUGGGGGGAGAGAGAGACGAGUGCCAGCCCCAGCUAAAACAACACCACUCUGUGCUCUGAGCCCCCACCUUGUGACUUUUCAAAUCAACACCAAUGUCAGCACCCCAACUGCAGAACUACACAGCAUAGCCGCGCGGGGGGAGUGUGUGCUCAUUCUCUGAAAGGCGUGUGCUUAGCGGAAUAACUUAGCUUUGGAUAAAAUAACAAAAUACCUCCUGAGUUUCUAAAGCCAUAAAAUAUUAAGCAUUACUAACUAUUACUAGCAAUAACUUUUUGUGCAUGCAUCAGUACUUUAUGCUGUAUAACAGAGGUGUAGAAGGAAGUGGCUGACUUAUUUGGCCAAAUAAUCUUGAUCUUAAUCUAACCCUUAGGCACGGAUUUAACUUAACAGCAUUUGUUUUUUGUCUCUUAAAAAAAACUUUUUAUCGUUUCUGAAGUACAAAAUGGCCGACUUUUGGGGUCAUUACCACUCAAAAGUCGCCAUUUUAUACAUAAAAAAUGAUAAUAUUAACAAAUGCUGAUAUUGUGUCAAUCUUUUUAUUUCAAAAAAUUGAAAGCUGGUUACAGUAAGUAAGUGGGAACCGAGCCUCGGUGGACGCAGGCCUCAGAUGGCUGGUUUGUUGGUUCAGGUCUGCCCCCAGGCCCGAUCCCCACCUGUCACAGGAACCACAGCCAAACCAGCAGGUUACCAUUCAACAUGGUGUAAAGUGUGUUCGGUCAGGAGCUAGAUGGAGGGAAAGUCAGGUUAAUGUUCUAAGUCUGAGCAUUCAGCAAUAAGGAUGCAAUUUAGAUUUCCUGCAUCUUGCAGUCAAUGGGAAACGGGUUGUGAUAUGGCCACUCUGUCCUUGACGUGACUCUGUAAACCUGCUCCCAGCGGUGGGGGUGGGGGUUGUUAUUUCCUUGUGCGGUUGUGGGACUGGAAAAUGUCGCAUUAGAGUGGACGAGAGUCAUUCUGAAGUUGGACUUGUUAGAGAACAGUGAAGAGGGAGCUUUACUCUGUGUGCAACCUGUGUUGCUGGAACUGGGUGCUCUGUACCUGGAUGUGGAUUAGCUGGUUAGUGAUCGAGUAACUUGCUCUCACUGUUCGCAUCCAAGAAUUGAGGUGGCAGCUGAACCAGUUACUCUUUUUUGUGAGGAGGGGAGCUGAAUCCUCUGGCUGCCCCGAUCGGUGUGUUGUCAAGGCAUAUCCUGUCUGUAACCUGCUUUCUAUAUUAUAUUUUAAUGGGGAGCGGAGUUAAAAUGCAAUGAUUACAGUGCAUGAGGCAGCUUGCAUUAAACUAUGCAUUUCUGAGAGAUGAGCAGGUUUGUGUGACUCAUUCACUGUUGUAGAAUGAGCUGUGGAGCAGUGAUUGCUCUAACCUCACCUCUGUACAGAACAAACAGCAAUAAAAUACCCGAGUGCCAAGGGUCACUAGA